GGUUUGCUAAUACCGCAUUCGUUCGCUGAUUCAUUUCAGCGAGUAAAGCCGCAAGGCACUUUGAGAGGGGCCCGCGUCCCAUCAGGUAGUUGGUGAGGUAAUGGCCCACCAAGCCGAUGACGGGUAGCUGGUCUGAGAGGACGAUCAGCCACAAUGGAACUGAGACACGGUCCAUACUCCUACGGGAGGCAGCAGUGAGGAAUAUUGGGCAAUGGGGGAAACCCUGACCCAGCGACGCCGCGUGGGUGACGAAGGCCUUCGGGUCGUAAAACCCUUUUGGCAGGGACGAGUGAGGACGGUACCUGUCGAAUAAGUCUCGGCUAACUACGUGCCAGCAGCCGCGGUAAAACGUAGGAGGCGAGCGUUAUCCGGAUUUACUGGGCGUAAAGCGCGCGUAGGCGGGUGGGUAAGUCUGACGUGAAAGCCCCUGGCUCAACUGG
rnacentral:rRNA from 1 species